CUCUGCAGAGAAGAAAGGCGUGCAAAGGAGGCUCCUAUGUUUCUCCAAUUAAUGUAAUUAAGAGAAUUAAACUUUUGGAGAGAGUGAGUUUUUCAUUUUCUUUUUAUUUGAUUAGGGAAAAUCCCAGUGCACACUCUGUGCAAAUGAAACCCAGGCUCCUUUCCGUUGUUGGGCAGCCCCGGGAGAACACGUUACCUUUCAAUCUCGCACUCUAAUGUGUUUAGAGUUAAAAUCCCCCCGCCCCAGGCGAGCAAAGGAAGGAUCCCAGAGCCUUGAUUAAAGCACGGCUUCCUGAGCAAGGAUGUGCAUGUGGAGCUGCUGGGCUUGCACUGUGCCCUGCACAGCCAGACCAGCCCAUGAACACCAAGAGAUGCCACGACAUCCACGACAUUCCAGUCUUCUGGUGGUGGUCGUAACUUUGAAAACCAUGGAGACAUCGCUGGAUCUGUGGCAGGUGUCCUCAACAUGUGAUUUUGGAGAAGAAAAGCACCCACAGCUAUCACCCAGGGACCAGCUGCCCAUCACCACAGCACUGGCAAACAUCCACUUUGGGAGGACAACGAGUAUUUUUGGCUGCAGCAGCAACAACGCCAUAAAACACCAGGAACUGCUGCUUGCAGGCUUCUCCCAUCGCUGCUCGGAGCAUCUGUGGAAGGGAAAACUUCCCAGCGUAACAUCCACAACCUCUUAAGUAAAUAGUCUUUAAUGUUGCACUAAGGGCUUGUAGCCUUAAUAUGUAAAAUCUGUUUAGCUUUUUUUAAUUCUUGGAUCGCGCUGUGGAAAGCGCUCCAGAAGUUGCCU
rnacentral:lncRNA from 1 species